AUUAAAAGUUUUAUACUGCUGGAAAGUGUUAAGGAAAAAACUCCAUCGUCAAACAUGACCACGCCUGUCCCCACAGAACUUGGUUUAUCUGCUCAUCCAGAAAUGGUAGUAGAGAGGAUAUAAUGGUCUGCCUGAAGUCCUGACCUCAACCACAUUGAAUAAUUGUACGAUCAGCUUGGCGUGCUGUUUGUCCUAGAGUGACUGACACAACACAGUUGAAGGGUGGGAAGUAUCCCACAGCAGUGCGUAACCACGAGGAGGUGGUGCCAAGCAGUUGUGGCUGUGCACAGUUCUCCCAUGCACGACUGAUGCCUCUGUUUUCUAAAUGAAUAAAUUGAUAAACUGCUAAUAUAUCUUUUUUUUUUGUUUUUUUCUUCCAUCAUCCAGUCCAAUAAAGGACAUCAAACAAGAGCCAAUAUUAGAAUAAUGCCAAUAAUCUGUCAUGUUUUUCAUGGGCACAAUCCACAUACUCAGCUCUGCUGCUGAACCCAUAAAUGCCUUUUCCCUACAAAUGUAGCAAAAUUUAAAGAGAAAUAAAGAGGCUUUUCAAUGGUAUUUAUUACCAAAAAGUGCUGGUUCCAAGAAAAAAAUCAAUUAAAUAGAGAUUUUUUUACUUUUUGUGCUACGUUUGUUAUGAUUCUGGCCUGUCUGCCUGCUCUGCUCUAAUGCAAUCAACUCAUCAGCUUCACCUGUCUGCUGCUGCACUGGAGCGCAUCAACGUCAUUCUACACACCUGUGGAUGUGCAGUUAUAUACAGCCCUCCGAAAGGCAGACGGUGCCAGAUUUUCGAAAGCAUUUUGUGAGUAGUUAUCCAGAGUUCCUUCCUGCCUGAUCUCGUUCUCUGACCUUGCCUUGCCUCGCCUCACGGAUGUUGCCUUCCUGCCUGCCCCUUGUUGGACUGUUUGGAUCCUGGAUUUCGACUCUGUUUUCUGCAUCUGGUUUAUGCCUCAGCCUGCCCCUUGUCUGAUGUCUCUAGCCCUGGAACUCGAUCCUGUUUCUGUUCAUGGAUUUACGCCCCAGCCAAGCCACUGGUUUAUUCAGCCUGAGCCUGCCUGGCUCUCAAGUCUGCCUGGAGUUAUAGAAAAGAGGACAACCACAGCUUCAGCUGAUUCCCCUGAGGAUUUGGAUCAGUCGGCACUCCGACUGAUCCAAAACUGUCUGGAUCACAUCUUCUUCUGGAUUCUGAGCCUCAUUCCCAGACUGAGAAGUGAUUCAUGGAAGCUGACUGUUGGUUACCUGUGUGCUGAUCCUGCCUUGCUGAAUUAACCUUUUUUACAUGGUGUCUUGCUGAAUUUCGGGUCCUGAAGUCCCUGGUCGUAAUAAUGUUAGUUUAUGGGUACAAACUCUUGAUGUGGGUACAUAAUGGGGGUGAGAAUUAAUGUGAAGCCAACAUUGCUGCCAUCAAUCUGUCACAAUUUGAUCAUCUUUCCUUGGUUGAAUUUAUGAAAGAUAUCAAAACAUUGCUUACCAGAGAGAUUUCUGUUUUUAAGGCCAUUACACUUUUUUCCAAAGAGCUAUUGGCUGAAAACUUGGCAUACAGUAGAAUAUUAAUCACAAGAUGCUGUGUUUCAGGUUGUGUGUUUAGUCUAAGCUGGAUUUUUUUUCCAAAAAGACAUGACUUAUAGAUCUUGUUCAUUCACUGCUGAUACUUUUUAAGCCCCUAAACCAUAUUUUAACCACUUUUCUUAGUUUUUAAAUAUACUGUGCAAUAUGCUGCAAACAGCCGGGUACAAGUACUGGACUGAAAAUGAGAGAAAGUAGCCAAAGUCCAAAGAAAAACAUAACGUUAAGCCUGAAGAACUGCCAAUCAAGAUCACUUUAAAAAGAUUACAAAAAUGUCUGGCACCUCUGAAGGAAAAUAUAACAUUAUGUAUAGUUUAAUGAUUUUUUUCACAUUUAAUAGCAGUUUCUUUUCUUUGUCUUCAACUUUCACAUCUAAGGAAGCACCAAAGGUUCAUUUUUAUGAAAAGCAAAAGUAAUUUAAAGCAAGUAUUAAAUGGCUCAUGAACAUCUGAAAGUGACAUCAUUGACUGGUAAGCUGAGAGCGUUUGGGCAGCGCCUGCUUCAUCCAACUCAGUUCUGAAAAAGCCAGAAAAUGGGCCAAGAUAAAGUAUAUGAAGACCAAA